rnacentral:rRNA from 1 species
AACGCGAAGAACCUUACCUGGGCUCGAACGGCUCACGAAAGUCUUUGGAAACAGAGAUUUCCCGCAAGGGACGGGAGUCGAGGUGCUGCAUGGCUGUCGUCAGCUCGUGUCGUGAGAUGUUGGGUUAAGUCCCGCAACGAGCGCAACCCUUGUCCUGUGUUACCAUGGUGAAAACCGGAACUCGCAGGAGACCGCCAGCGAUAAGCUGGAGGAAGGUGGGGAUGACGUCAAGUCCUCAUGGCCUUUAUGUCCAGGGCUACACACGUGCUACAAUGGACGGUACAAAGCGUCGCUAACCUGCGAAGGGGAGCCAAUCGCAAAAAACCGUUCUCAGUUCGGAUUGCAGGCUGCAACUCGCCUGCAUGAAGCUGGAAUCGCUAGUAAUGGCAGAUCAGCACGCUGCCGUGAAUACGUUCCCGGGCCUUGUACACACCGUAGAGAC